AAUCAACGCUGGCGGCGUGCCUCAGACAUGCAAGUCGAGCGGUAAGGCCCUUUCGGGGGUACACGAGCGGCGAACGGGUGAGUAACACGUGGGUGACCUGCCCUCAGCUCUGGGAUAAGCCUGGGAAACCGGGUCUAAUACCGGAUAUGACUCCAUGACGCAUGUUGUGGGGUGGAAAGCCUUGUGCGGCUGAGGAUGGGCCCGCGGCCUAUCAGCUUGUUGGUGGGGGAUGGCCUACCAAGGCGACGACGGGUAGCCGGCCUGAGAGGGCGACCGGCCACACUGGGACUGAGACACGGCCCAGACUCCUACGGGAGGCAGCAGUGGGGAAUCUUGCGCAAUGGGCGAAAGCCUGACGCAGCGACGCCGCGUGA
rnacentral:rRNA from 1 species